AUUGAACGCUGGCGGCAGGCUUAACACAUGCAAGUCGAGCGGAGAUGAGGUGCUUGCACCUUAUCUUAGCGGCGGACGGGUGAGUAAUGCUUAGGAAUCUGCCUAUUAGUGGGGGACAACAUUCCGAAAGGAAUGCUAAUACCGCAUACGUCCUACGGGAGAAAGCAGGGGAUCUUCGGACCUUGCGCUAAUAGAUGAGCCUAAGUCGGAUUAGCUAGUUGGUGGGGUAAAGGCCUACCAAGGCGACGAUCUGUAGCGGGUCUGAGAGGAUGAUCCGCCACACUGGGACUGAGACACGGCCCAGACUCCUACGGGAGGCAGCAGUGGGGAAUAUUGGACAAUGGGGGAAACCCUGAUCCAGUCAUGCCGCGUGUGUGAAAAAGGCCUUAUGGUUGUAAAGCACUUUAAGCGAGGAGGAGGCUACUGAGACUAAUACUCUUGGAUAGUGGACGUUACUCGCAGAAUAAGCACCGGCUAACUCUGUGCCAGCAGCCGCCGUAACAC
rnacentral:rRNA from 1 species